UCUCUCUCUCUUUUUCUCAUCUCCAGUUCUGCUAAAGAUUCUGUUAGAGGAGAGAGGAUAGCCAUCAAGAAGCUUGUAAAACCUUUCCAGAACGAGACCUAUGCCAAGAGAGCGUUUAGGGAACUGAAACUGAUGAAGAUGGUGAACCACAAGAAUGUUAUCGGUUUGUUGAAUCUCUUUAGCCCGGCUCAUUCUAUUGAGGAUUUUGAGGAUGUUUAUAUUGUGAU